CAUCCUGAUGGGGGAAGAGGCCCUGCCGCCUCCGUCGGCCACUGCCAUGGCGAAUGUGCGGAAGACAAUGGUGCACAUGUCGGUGCCAAGAGAGAAGACAGAUGUGUCCCCAUUGGGGGUGUGGAGAUCAAAAAUCAAUCGUGAUUAAGGAAGCCGCCGCAUCCACCGAAGUCACCGAUUUCGCCUAGGUUCAGAAGCUUCCGAAGCCACCGCGCCCAUC
rnacentral:lncRNA from 1 species